AGAAUAUUCAAGUCAUACCGUUUCUUCACAAAGAAUACAAGCUCUUUUGUAAGUUUCCAAUUUCACCAUUCAUGUUACAAGAAAAUUCAAAUUCUAUAUGGCCUAAAAUCCAAUUACAACUUCAAAAAUACAAAUAUUCCAAGUUUUCUACACCUAAACUUCUAUAUAUCACAAGACUUUGAGUUUCUUCAAGCUUCUACUCCAUUGCUCAAGAAAUUCUUCCAUGCCUUCAAGCUUUGCUACAGUUGCAUUAUCCUCAAGUCUUUAACUCAUACCCUUUGCAACCAUGCUCUUGACAAACCACUCAUCACAUGA